AGAGUUUGAUCCUGGCUCAGAUUGAACGCUGGCGGCAGGCCUAACACAUGCAAGUCGAGCGGUAGCAGUCCUUCGGGAGCUGACGAGCGGCGGACGGGUGAGGAAUGCUUGGGAAUCUGCCCGAUAGAGGGGGAUAACUACGGGAAACUGUAGCUAAUACCGCAUGAUCUCUUAGGAGCAAAGCGGGGGACCUUCGGGCCUCGCGCUAUCGGAUGAGCCCAAGUGGGAUUAGCUAGUUGGUAGGGUAAAGGCCUACCAAGGCGACGAUCUCUAACUGGUCUGAGAGGAUGAUCAGUCACACUGGAACUGAGACACGGUCCAGACUCCUACGGGAGGCAGCAGUGGGGAAUAUUGGACAAUGGGGGCAACCCUGAUCCAGCCAUGCCGCGUGGGUGAAGAAGGCCUUCGGGUUGUAAAGCCCUUUUGGCGGGGAGGAAGGGUGUGAGGUGAAUAAUCUCGCACUUUGACGUUACCCGCAGAAUAAGCACCGGCAAACUCCGUGCCAGCAGCCGCGGUAAUACGGAGGGUGCAAGCGUUAAUCGGAAUUACUGGGCGUAAAGCGCAUGCAGGCGGUCUGUUAAGUCAGAUGUGAAAUCCCCGGGCUUAACCUGGGAACUGCAUUUGAAACUGGCAGACUGGAGUCCUGGAGAGGGGGGUAGAAUUUCCGGUGUAGCGGUGAAAUGCGUAGAUAUCGGAAGGAAUACCAGUGGCGAAGGCGGCCCCCUGGCCAGAGACUGACGCUCAGAUGCGAAAGCGUGGGGAGCAAACAGGAUUAGAUACCCUGGUAGUCCACGCUGUAAACGAUGUCAACUAGCUGCUUGUGUCUUCGUGACGUGGGUAGCGCAGCCAACGCACUAAGUUGACCGCCUGGGGAGUACGGCCGCAAGGUUAAAACUCAAAUGAAUUGACGG
rnacentral:rRNA from 1 species